AUAUUUAAUGCUGCCUCUGCACAGGAAUUGUCAACAAGGACUUUCUAUCUCUCCUAACUAAACACUGCUCAUGUCCACCAGUGGCACAAUAAUCCCCAACCACAUUAUGCAAGAUAAAUUAGCCCUAAUAUGAGGUUGCUAAAUGAGCCAAUAUACUACAUGGAGCAAAAGACAUCAAGACAGAAGAGCAUCAUUGGUGGCCAGCUGAGGAGUCCCACGUGUAUUGUUCUACUCCACCCAAUUACAGAGCACCUGAAGAACUGUGCUUCAGAAACCAGUUUGAGAGCUGGCUUUGCCACCUGAGCUCAGUCAGCACCAGCCUUUGUGUGGAAUAGGACUCAAGACAGGCCGAACAGGACAUGGAGCUGUUGGAGCAAGUCCAGAGGAGGCCAUGAGGAUGAUCAGGGGCUGGAGCAC